UACACUCCUACGGGAGGCAGCAGUGGGGAAUUUUGGACAAUGGGGGCAACCCUGAUCCAGCAAUGCCGCGUGAGUGAAGAAGGCCUUCGGGUUGUAAAGCUCUUUUGUCAGGGAAGAAACGGUAGUAGCGAAUAACUAUUACUAAUGACGGUACCUGAAGAAUAAGCACCGGCUAACUACGUGCCAGCAGCCGCGGUAAUACGUAGGGUGCAAGCGUUAAUCGGAAUUACUGGGCGUAAAGCGUGCGCAGGCGGUUGUGUAAGUCAGAUGUGAAAUCCCCGGGCUCAACCUGGGAAUUGCAUUUGAGACUGCACGGCUAGAGUGUGUCAGAGGGGGGUAGAAUUCCACGUGUAGCAGUGAAAUGCGUAGAUAUGUGGAGGAAUACCGAUGGCGAAGGCAGCCCCCUGGGAUAACACUGACGCUCAUGCACGAAAGCGUGGGGAGCAAACAGGAUUAGAAACCCCUGUAGUCCCAUGA
rnacentral:rRNA from 1 species